UGGGGAAUAUUGCACAAUGGGCGCAAGCCUGAUGCAGCCAUGCCGCGUGUGUGAAGAAGGCCUUCGGGUUGUAAAGCACUUUCAGCGGGGAGGAAGGCGGUGAGGUUAAUAACCUCAUCGAUUGACGUUACCCGCAGAAGAAGCACCGGCUAACUCCGUGCCAGCAGCCGCGGUAAUACGGAGGGUGCAAGCGUUAAUCGGAAUUACUGGGCGUAAAGCGCACGCAGGCGGUUUCUUAAGUCUGAUGUGAAAGCCCCCGGCUCAACCGGGGAGGGUCAUUGGAAACUGGGAGACUUGAGUGCAGAAGAGGAGAGUGGAAUUCCAUGUGUAGCGGUGAAAUGCGUAGAUAUAUGGAGGAACACCAGUGGCGAAGGCGGCUCUCUGGUCUGUAACUGACGCUGAGGCUCGAAAGCGUGGGGAGCAAACAGG
rnacentral:rRNA from 1 species